GUCUUGUCCUAAUAAAAUAUUUGUUAUGAAUUUUGUCUUCAUUUUAAAAGAGUCCAUACUGCCGAUUCAUGUAUAUUUGUGGGUGUAAAUUUUUUGUUGAUUAUUAGGUCUUUCCACUUUUCCAGGGAAGGUAUACACCUAAUGGUUUUGUUCUGAUUAUUUAUUUUAUUUUUUUCUUGCACUGUAAUUUUGUUUCAAAAGAUGUAGCUUAUUUUUUUUAUUUAUAUACUGUAUAAUAUCAUACAGUCUAUACGCUAUUUACUGACCGUGUUU
rnacentral:lncRNA from 1 species